CAAAAAAGUGCUAACACUGCAUAUGUAGUGAAGAAUGCAAGCCCCGGAAGGUCAAGGAUAACAUGCUGCAAGAUCUGAAACAGAAAUGAACAUGAGGCAUUUAACUCUUGUUGAUCAAAUGAAAAUUGACAUUUAUGUUACAGGAGAAAGUUAAGGCAUGCAAACCGGAGGGUUCACUUGCUGCACUAGGCGACGGAAAGCAAAGAUAGAACAUCUGGCUGCAGAUUUGCAAUGCAGUAAGGAACUGGAAGACCUUUUGGAUCGUCCAUCCAUAUUCAGGAACUCUGCGCUGUAUUCUGGCAACUUGGAUCUGUAUGGCACAUUAUAAUCAUUUUGCCCUCUGUUAAUUUGUUCAGCAAACAAUGAACAUUUACAUGGCAAUGACAGGAAGAGGAGUACUGACAAGCAACCUCGAGUCCUAGUCCAACUAUCAAUCUCUAUUCCAAAUCGCACUUUUCGUCUUGAUUGAAACAAAUGAGUGCAUAUAUUCGCCCUGGUUAUCUCAUCUUUGACAAGGUUCGGACGAAAAAUACUGGCAUGCUCAAGGUAGAAAAAAAUCAAGUAUCUAUUCUCCCGCCAUGAUAUCAAGGCAAACAUCACAGGCUUAUUCCUUCGACGCUAUCACAGCUGAGUAAACAAAAUUCAGCAAAGAAGCAUCUUUCCUAGCCGGCGUCCAUGGCUAAACUAACAGGAGGAGGAGACGA